rnacentral:piRNA from 1 species
UGNGGUGUGCAUGUAUCACUUUGUCAAGG